CAAUAGCGUAUAUUAAAGUUGUUGCAGUUAAAAAGCUCGUAGUUGGAUUUCUGAUCGAGACAUCAGGUCGGGUCCGAGAGGAUCAUGUACUUUGAUUUUGUUUUGAUCAUCCUUGGGGAGAGCAUUUCUGGCAUUCAGUUGUCGGGAUUGGGAUCCUCAUCGUUUACUGUGAAAAAAUUAGAGUGUUCAAAGCAGGCCUCGGCCUCUGAAUACAUUAGCAUGGAAUAAUAAGAUAGGACUUUGGUGGUCUAUUUUGUUGGUUUGCACGCCAAAGUAAUGAUUAAUAGUGAUAGUUGGGGGUAUUCGUAUUCAAUUGUCAGAGGUGAAAUUCUUGGAUUUAUGGAAGACGAACUACUGCGAAAGCAUUUACCAAGGAUGUUUUCAUUAA
rnacentral:rRNA from 1 species